UACGUAGGGGGCAAGCGUUGUCCGGAUUUAUUGGGCGUAAAGAGCUCGUAGGCGGCUCACUAAGUCGGAUGUGAAAACUCCAGGCUCAACCUGGAGACGCCAGUCGAUACGGGCAGGCUAGAGUUCGGUAGGGGAGCAGGGAAUUCCUAGUGUAGCGGUGAAAUGCGCAGAUAUUAGGAGGAACACCGGUGGCGAAGGCGCUGCUCUGGGCCGAAACUGACGCUGAGGAGCGAAAGCGUGGGUAGCAAACAGG
rnacentral:rRNA from 1 species